rnacentral:lncRNA from 1 species
CACGGCCACGAGGCCGUUCCCAUGGGCCGUCCUCUUCUCCACCCCCAGCACCCCCGUAUAAAGCCCCUGUCCUUGGAUGCUGCMGAGGCAGCCUGGGCCRGGAARAGGAGGAGGAGGAGGUGGAGGAGGAGGAGGAAGAGGAGGAGGCGGAGGCAGAGGCAGGCAUAGAGAGCAGCAUGAAGCAGGUUGUGGUUGAAGAGCCACUGGACGCCGAGAUGCGCUGCUGCAAGCCCGGCUGCUGCUGCCUGCCCGGCUGCACCGCCUGCUGCCCCAAGUGCCUGCGGCGGUGCGGCGGCUGCGGCUGCCACGGCUGCCACGGCUGCGGCGGCUGCCUCAAGCGCAGCCUCUGCUUCGUGCCUCGCCUGCUCUGCUACCUGCCCCGCAAGCUCCUCAGCUGCCACCACCUCAAGUGCCUCCUCAUCGUGGUGGUGGUGGUGGUGCUGCUGGUGGUCAUCAUCGCGGGCGCCCUGCUGAUGUGGCUGCACGCGGCCCGGCAGCGCGCCGACGCCGUGACCGUGCAGGGGCUGGAGAGGGGAGCGGUCUGGCCGUGGCUUCCCGCCGGCGGGGAAGAGGAGGCAGYGACUUUCUACGUAGACGGAGGAGCCGGAAGCCCAGCCACGGUCCUCUACGACUACAAGAACCUGCUGAUCGGCUACAGAUCCUGGCUGCACCAAGGCUGCUACGUCACCCGCAUGGACGAGGACAACAUCCAGGGGCUGGACGCCGUCACCGCGGCCUUCCGGCAGCGGCAGGCUGAGGAGAGGCCCCCCGUGCCCCUGGCCGAUCGCUCCCUCCUGAGCACCGCAGCCAACGUCCUCUGCAGCGUCGUCCCCGUCUACUGGGCCUAGCCCGGCUGGCAUCCCCAGAGGACCCAGCCCCAUCGGCAGCGUCGCCUCGGAGUCGUGCCCGCAGCAGUGCCAACGUCUCCCGGCAGCAAUGCCCUGGCGCGCCGCGCUCUGCAGCUGAGCGGGGGCCCACGGGCUCGGYGGGGGCSCGGGGGGGGCGCGGGGGGGCUCRGCGACCCUGCAAGGCCCCACUGCGGAUCCCUGCUGCGAACGCGCUUCUCUGGCGACGGCGGAGGUGGUGGGCGUUUGCUUGGGCGACCGUUUCGCGCUGCUGACGCCGAGCUGCAGGCUGUGCCAGGGGACAGCUGGUUUGUCACUUAGUCUUCUCAGCUUUGCCAAAACCAAGUGCAAAAAUAAGCUUAACAAAAAAAAGACAUUUAAAGAAACAAGAUUCUCUGUUCUAGUUCUUUACUCCCUGCUUGCCCAACUUCUGGCAAUUUAGGGCUUCUUUUGCCUUGAAAGUGUAUCUAAGGGCUCUUAGCAUCA